GACGAACGCUGGCGGCGUGCUUAACACAUGCAAGUCGAACGGAAAGGCCCUGCUUUUGUGGGGUGCUCGAGGGGCGAACGGGUGAGUAACACGUGAGUAACCUGCCCUUGACUUUGGGAUAACUUCAGGAAACGGGGGCUAAUACCGGAUAGGAGCUCCUGCUGCAUGGGGGGGGUUGGAAAGUUUCGGCGGUUGGGGAUGGACUCGCGGCUUAUCAGCUUGUUGGUGGGGUAGUGGCUUACCAAGGCUUUGACGGGUAGCCGGCCUGAGAGGGUGACCGGCCACAUUGGGACUGAGAUACGGCCCAGACUCCUACGGGAGGCAGCAGUGGGGAAUAUUGCACAAUGGGCGGAAGCCUGAUGCAGCAACGCCGCGUGCGGGAUGACGGCCUUCGGGUUGUAAACCGCUUUCGCCUGUGACGAAGCGUGAGUGACGGUAAUGGGUAAAGAAGCACCGGCUAACUACGUG
rnacentral:rRNA from 1 species